AACGAACGCUGGCGGCAUGCCUAACACAUGCAAGUCGAACGAGACCUUCGGGUCUAGUGGCGCACGGGUGCGUAACGCGUGGGAACCUGCCUUUAGGUUCGGAAUAACUCAGAGAAAUUUGAGCUAAUACCGGAUGAUGUCUUUGGACCAAAGAUUUAUCGCCUUUAGAUGGGCCCGCGUUGGAUUAGCUAGUUGGUGGGGUAAAGGCCUACCAAGGCGACGAUCCAUAGCUGGUCUGAGAGGAUGAUCAGCCACACUGGGACUGAGACACGGCCCAGACUCCUACGGGAGGCAGCAGUGGGGAAUAUUGGACAAUGGGCGAAAGCCUGAUCCAGCAAUGCCGCGUGAGUGAUGAAGGCCUUAGGGUUGUAAAGCUCUUUUACCCGAGAUGAUAAUGACAGUGUCGGGAGAAUAAGCUCCGGCUAACUCCGUG
rnacentral:rRNA from 1 species